CUGACAUUGGGAGGAGGCAGCUAGUUUCUCGCAGUGAGGGCAGUACGAGCUAGUUGCAAGCCUUAGGCAGGCCACAAGGUGAAUGUCUGCCAUUGUGGAUCUGUACUUUGACUUGAUGAUUUUCAUGUGAGAGAAAGCAGUCUCACACAAAUAAGUUGAUCCAAAAAGUGCAGUCACGUUCAAGGCACAUCUUCUGAGGUUGGGAUAUUUUUGUUCCAGUAGCAGGUUCCAGAACUCUCAUUUCUCGUCAGAUGUUGCCCUGGAUUUGAUCUCAAUGUCAUUUGGAGUGUGAGAAUCUCACGAUCAACAGCAGAGCUAUCCACUUCAAAUAGUGCUGCUUCUUUGGAAGCCAUGUAAUCCACAUCGAUGCCCUCCCCAAACGGAAAACACAGCUGGCAACAGGCUCAAUGGAUGCAAAGUAAGUAAAAUGCUUCUCAAAUUCUGACAAGAUGCUCUGAACUUGCUCCCCAUAACGUGCACUGUCAAGCUGUGCAGAAUCUUUGCCAUGACACUGGAG
rnacentral:lncRNA from 1 species